rnacentral:rRNA from 1 species
GACGAACGCUGGCGGCGUGCUUAACACAUGCAAGUCGAACGGAAAGGCCCUGCUUUUGUGGGGUGCUCGAGUGGCGAACGGGUGAGUAACACGUGAGUAACCUGCCCUUGACUUUGGGAUAACUUCAGGAAACUGGGGCUAAUACCGGAUAGGAGCUCCUGCUGCAUGGUGGGGGUUGGAAAGUUUCGGCGGUUGGGGAUGGACUCGCGGCUUAUCAGCUUGUUGGUGGGGUAGUGGCUUACCAAGGCUUUGACGGGUAGCCGGCCUGAGAGGGUGACCGGCCACAUUGGGACUGAGAUACGGCCCAGACUCCUACGGGAGGCAGCAGUGGGGAAUAUUGCACAAUGGGCGGAAGGCUGAUGCAGCAACGCCGGGUGCGGGAUGACGGCCUUCGGGUUGGAAACCGCUUUCGCCUGUGACGAAGCGUUAGUGACGGUAAUGGGUAAAGAAGCACCGGCUAACUACGUG